UAAAGGUGUGGAAACUUCAUUCAUUCA
rnacentral:piRNA from 1 species